GAUGAACGCUGGCGGCGUGCCUAAUACAUGCAAGUCGAGCGAACAGACGAGGAGCUUGCUCCUCUGACGUUAGCGGCGGACGGGUGAGUAACACGUGGAUAACCUACCUAUAAGACUGGGAUAACUUCGGGAAACCGGAGCUAAUACCGAAUAAUAUAUUGAACCGCAUGGUUCAAUAGUGAAAGACGGUUUUGCUGUCACUUAUAGAUGGAUCCGCGCCGCAUUAGCUAGUUGGUAAGGUAACGGCUUACCAAGGCAACGAUGCGUAGCCGACCUGAGAGGGUGAUCGGCCACACUGGAACUGAGACACGGUCCAGACUCCUACGGGAGGCAGCAGUAGGGAAUCUUCCGCAAUGGGCGAAAGCUUGACGGAGCAACGCCGCGUGAGUGGUGAAGGUCUUCGGAUCGUAAAACUCUGUUAUUAGGGAAGAACAAAUGUGUAAGUAACUAUGCACGUCUUGACGGUACCUAAUCAGAAAGCCACGGCUAACUACGUG
rnacentral:rRNA from 1 species